UACGUAGGGUGCGAGCGUUAAUCGGAAUUACUGGGCGUAAAGCGUGCGCAGGCGGCCAUGCAAGUCGAGUGUGAAAGCCCCGGGCUUAACUUGGGAAUUGCGCUCGAAACUACGUGGCUGGAGUGUGGCAGAGGAAGGUGGAAUUCCACGUGUAGCGGUGAAAUGCGUAGAGAUGUGGAGGAACACCAAUGGCGAAGGCAGCCUUCUGGGCCAACACUGACGCUCAUGCACGAAAGCGUGGGGAGCAAACAGG
rnacentral:rRNA from 1 species